AGUAUUGAUCCCCAUUGAGAGACAAGGAGUAUGGCAUUUAAUAUAUCUGUCCAUAUGCACGAAAACUUUCUACCACUACUCUCCGUUUCGCAAAUUGGAGCCAUUAAACAAACAAUUUGCAGACUGUGUAAGUUUUAAACCUUCGUAGGUCUAAAUCUUUUAAGAGUUUUCUGAAAAAAUAAACAACUCUUCAAUGCAGGUCCAAUGGUUGAAUCACUACAUCAUGAACGUGUAUUCCGACCAUCACAAAUCUCAUUGGUUAACAACACAGGUGGAAGAUUUUCCUCAAGCAUCAUUCAAGAUGACUCCAGACAGCGGAGUGUAUGUUCUCACGGCAAGGAAUUAUAUAGUCAUGGGGGACAUCGUACUAUGGAGUAGAAAAGAUGUGGAUCAAAUGACCGACAAAAUCGUAUAUGAUAUUCUUCACGCUUCUCUUUUAGAUGUUAAAUGCUACUUAC
rnacentral:lncRNA from 1 species